ACACAUGCAAGUCGAACGAGAUCUUCGGAUCUAGUGGCGCACGGGUGAGUAACGCGUGGGAACCUACCUUUUAGUACGGGACAACGUUUGGAAACGAACGCUAAUACCGUAUACGCCCUCCGGGGGAAAGGUCAGCCCGCUAAAAGAGGGGCCCGCGUCUGAUUAGCUUGUUGGUAAGGUAAUGGCUUACCAAGGCUACGAUCAGUAGCUGGGUCUGAGAGGAUGAUCAGCCACACUGGGACUGAGACACGGCCCAGACUCCUACGGGAGGCAAGCAGUGGGGGAAUAUUGGACAAUGGGGGCAACCCUGAUCCAGCAAUGCCGCGUGUGUGAUGAAGGCCUUAGGGUUGUAAAGCACU
rnacentral:rRNA from 1 species